rnacentral:rRNA from 1 species
CCUACGGGAGGCUGCAGUGGGGAAUAUUGCACAAUGGGCGAAACCCUGAUGCAGCGACGCCGCGUGAGUGAAGAAGUAAUUCGGUAUGUAAAGCUCUAUCAGCAGGGAAGAAAAUGACGGUACGUGAGUAAUAACCCCCGGCUAACUACGUGCCAGCAGCCGCGGUAAUACGUAGGGGGCAAGCGUUAGCCGGAUUUACUGGGUGUAACGGGAGCGUAGGCGGGAGUGCAAGUCUGGAGUGAAAGGCGGGGGCUCAACCGCCGGACGGCUCUGGAAACUGUACGGCUGGAGUGCAGAAGAGGUAAGUGGAAUUCCUGGUGUAGCGGUGAAAUGCGUAGAUAUUAGGAGGAACACCAGUGGCGAAGGCGGCUUACUGGACUGUAACUGACGUUGAGGCUCGAAAGCGUGGGGAGCAAACAGGAUUAGAUACCCCAGUAGUC